UACGUAGGGUCCGAGCGUUGCCCGGAUUUAUUGGGCGUAAAGAGCGCGUAGGCGGCCGAGUAAGUCCGACGUGAAAUCUGGAGGCUCAACCUCCAGCGGUCGUUGGAAACUACUCGGCUAGAGUCCGGAAGAGGAGAGUGGAAUUCCCGGUGUAGCGGUGAAACGCGCAGAUAUCGGGAAGAACACCUAUGGCGAAGGCAGCUCUCUGGGACGGUACUGACGCUGAGACGCGAAAGCGUGGGGAGCGAACAGG
rnacentral:rRNA from 1 species